GAUGAACGCUGGCGGCGUGCCUAACACAUGCAAGUCGAACGAAGCACCUAACUUUGAUUCCUUCGGGUUGAAGAGUUUUGUGACUGAGUGGCGGACGGGUGAGUAACGCGUGGGUAACCUGCCUCAUACAGGGGGAUAACAGUUAGAAAUGACUGCUAAUACCGCAUAAGCGCACAGCAUCGCAUGGUGCAGUGUGAAAAACUCCGGUGGUAUGAGAUGGACCCCGCGUCUGAUUAGCUAGUUGGCGAGGUAACGGCUCACCAAGGCGACGAUCAGUAGCCGGCCUGAGAGGGUGAACGGCCACAUUGGGACUGAGACACGGGCCCAAAAUCCUACGGGAGCAGCAGUGGGGAAUAUUGGGACAAUGGGGGAAACCCUGAUCCAGCGACGCCGCGUGAGUGAAGAAGUAUUUCGGUAUGUAAAGCUCUAUCAGCAGGGAGAAAAUGACGGUACCUGACUAAGAAGCCCCCGGCUAAACUACGUGCCAGCAG
rnacentral:rRNA from 1 species